rnacentral:misc_RNA from 1 species
UACGAAGGGGGCUAGCGUUGUUCGGAAUUAUUGGGCGUAAAGCGCGCGCAGGCGGUUCCUUAAGUCUGAUGUGAAAUCUCGGGGCUCAACCCCGAGCGGUCAUUGGAAACUGGGGAACUUGAGUGCAGAAGAGGAGAGUGGAAUUCCACGUGUAGCGGUGAAAUGCGUAGAGAUGUGGAGGAACACCAGUGGCGAAGGCGACUCUCUGGUCUGUAACUGACGCUGAGGAGCGAAAGCGUGGGGAGCGAACAUC